UNUUUAAGGGUUUUAAUGUCAGGAUUGACUA
rnacentral:piRNA from 1 species